AUUCAAAUAGCUUAUUUAGAGUAGUGUAUUGAAGUUACAUUGGAAAUAUUAUAUAUUUUUGAAUA
rnacentral:tRNA from 1 species